rnacentral:rRNA from 1 species
AGUGAACGCUGGCGGCGUGCCUAACACAUGCAAGUCGAGCGAAGUGGCAGCUGUAGCAAUACAGUAUGUGCUUAGCGGCAGACGGGUGAGUAACACGUAGACAACCUUCCUUCCAGAGGGGGAUAGCUCGCCGAAAGGCGAGGUAAUACCGCGUAAGAUCAACGGUCGGCAUCGAUUGUUGAUGAAACAUCCGCAAGGAUGGCUGGGAGACGGGUCUGCGGCCUAUCAGCUAGUUGGUGAGGUAACGGCUCACCAAGGCUACGACGGGUA